rnacentral:rRNA from 1 species
UGGGGAAUAUUGGACAAUGGGGGCAACCCUGAUCCAGCCAUGCCGCGUGUGUGAAGAAGGCUUUCGGGUUGUAAAGCACUUUAAGUCGGGAGGAAGGCUAUAACGUUAAUAGCGUUGUAGAUUGACGUUACCGACAGAAUAAGCACCGGCUAACUCCGUGCCAGCAGCCGCGGUAAUACGGAGGGUGCAAGCGUUAAUCGGAAUUACUGGGCGUAAAGCGCGCGUAGGCGGUUUGCUAAGCCAGAUGUGAAAGCCCCGGGCUCAACCUGGGAACUGCAUUUGGAACUGGCAGGCUAGAGUACGGUAGAGGGUGGUAGAAUUUCCUGUGUAGCGGUGAAAUGCGUAGAUAUAGGAAGGAAUACCGGUGGCGAAGGCGGCCACCUGGACUGAUACUGACGCUGAGGUGCGAAAGCGUGGGGAGCGAACAGGAUUAGAUACCCCCGUAGUCC